GACGAACGCUGGCGGCGUGCUUAACACAUGCAAGUCGAACGAAGAGCGAUGGAAGCUUGCUUCUAUCAAUCUUAGUGGCGAACGGGUGAGUAACGCGUAAUCAACCUGCCCUUCAGAGGGGGACAACAGUUGGAAACGACUGCUAAUACCGUAUACGAUCUAAUCUCGGCAUCGAGGAUAGAUGAAAGGUGGCCUCUACAUGUAAGCUAUCACUGAAGGAGGGGAUUGCGUCUGAUUAGCUAGUUGGAGGGGUAACGGCCCACCAAGGCGAUGAUCAGUAGCCGGUCUGAGAGGAUGAACGGCCACAUUGGGACUGAGACACAGCCCAGACUCCUACGGGAGGCAGCAGUGGGGAAUCUUCCGCAAUGGACGAAAGUCUGACGGAGCAACGCCGCGUGAGUGAUGACGGCCGUCGGGUUGUAAAGCUCUGUUAAUCGGGACGAAAGGCCUUCUUGCGAAUAGUGAGAAGGAUUGACGGUACCGGAAUAGAAAGCCACGGCUAACUACGUG
rnacentral:rRNA from 1 species